UCUAGUCUUCAGUCCAUGUGACGCUUAUAUACCAAAGUAUAGUAUUAUAGUUCGUGCGCCCACUAGUAAAUUAAGCCCAAGGACUAAUCUAAUCUUCAGAAAGUGGGAACGGCCUAUACAAUUCGUACAAGAAAUUCAGCUAAUGUUGGGUCAUUAAAAACUCGAGUGAAAAUUUUAAUUUUUUUUUGAAUUUUUGUGAUUGCAAUAAGCCGAGUGUGCAAUGCUUUUUUUCUUAUGCUUGGAACGUUAUUCAAUUUUAAAAGUUUGUAAAAGUCCUGCAGUUUAUGUAACCUUUUGUCCCUUCAGCGGUCAAAAAUUUGGUACCCAAAAAGAAGAAAGUAAAAAUACUAUUAUUUUAGAAAAUAAGGAUGUUGGCUCGAAAAAGGAUUCGAAUAUUAUUACCGUGGAUAUAGGUAAAAGUCAUACUCCCGCCCCUAGCUUGCAAAGAAGCCGAAAAGAAUCUUUAUCAACACAUGAACUAAACAUAAUUAAGCAAAUAUUUAAAAAGAAUUUCCACGAAAUUUUUUUUUCACUUUUUGGGUUGGACACAACUAACAAUACGGAUAAGUUACGAGCGCUUUAUUCGUACGUAUCGAAAUAUGAACUCCCAUCUUUAGGAAGAGAGAAAGAGAUUCAUGAUUUAAGCUGCGUAGAUGGCAAACUUUUAAAUAAAUCUGCACUGGGUAAAAAAAUCUCAAAUUUAACUCUUGAGGACAGUCGUUUACUUUUAGAAGAACUUUUGCUAAAAAAAUCGCCUCAAGAGCGAACUUUAUUUUUUACUAAAAUCUACAAAACUUUCCCGGUAAAUAAAUAUACCACAAAGCCGUCCUCGUCGCCGCCAGCGAUUGGCUGGAAUAUUGAAUCGGACGAUCUCUUGUUUCGCGUGGUUUAUAGGCAUCCCGAAACGAAAACGAAAUCUCCAUUUGUGGCUGCUGCGCUAGAGCUGUUCGAGGGAGAAGUAAAUUCGGAGUUGGUGGAGGCUUGCGAAGUAAGAUAUUACACGCUUAUGCGAGUAGGCUUUUCUUUGAAAGAAGGAUAAAGCCUAUUUUAAAUUUUUAUUCUUUUGAGUCCAAAUA